rnacentral:rRNA from 1 species
AUUGAACGCUGGCGGCAGGCCUAACACAUGCAAGUCGAACGGUAACAGGCAGAAGCUUGCUUCUUUGCUGACGAGUGGCGGACGGGUGAGUAAUGUCUGGGAAACUGCCUGAUGGAGGGGGAUAACUACUGGAAACGGUAGCUAAUACCGCAUAACGUCGCAAGACCAAAGAGGGGGACCUUCGGGCCUCUUGCCAUCGGAUGUGCCCAGAUGGGAUUAGCUAGUAUGUGGGGUAACGGCUCACCUAGGCGACGAUCCCUAGCUGGUCUGAGAGGAUGACCAGCCACACUGGAACUGGGACACGGUCCAGACUCCUACGGGAGGCAGCAGUGGGGAAUAUUGCACAACGGGCGCAAGCCUGAUGCAGCCAUGGCGCGUGUAUGAAGAAGGCCUUCGGGUUGUAAAGUACUUUCAGCGGGGAGGAAGGGAGUAAAGUUAAUACCUUUGCUCAUUGACGUUACCCGCAGAAGAAGCACCGGCUAACUCCGUG